GACGAACGCUGGCGGCGUGCCUAAUACAUGCAAGUCGAACGGAGCGGCGGACGGGUGAGUAAUGCCUAGGAAUCAGCCUGGUAGUGGGGGAUAACGUCCGGAAACGGGCGCUAAUACCGCAUACUAUCAGAUGAGACUAGGUCGGAUUAGCUAGGUGGUGGGGUAAAGGCCUACCAAGGCGACGAUCCGUAACUGGUCUGAGAGGAUGAUCAGUCACCCUGGAUCUGAGACCCGGUCCAGACGCCUACGGGAGGCAGCAGUGGGGAAUAUUGGACAAUUGGCGAAAGCCUGAUCCAGCCAUGCCGCGUGUGUGAAGAAGGUCUUCGGAUUGUAAUGCACUUUAAGUUGGGAGGCGUUACCAACAGAAUAAGCACCGGCUAACUUCGUGCCAGCAGACGCGGUAAUUC
rnacentral:rRNA from 1 species